UCAGAUGGCCGGAUGGCCGCUGGUCCCUCGCAAGAGGGGCUGGAGGAAAGUCCGGGCUCCACGGAAACACGGUGACGGAUAACAUCCGCCGGGGGCGACCCCAGGGAUAGCGCCACAGAAAUGACACCGCCUACCGGCCUAAAGCCGCGGCAAGGUUGAAAUGGUGCGGUAAGAGCGCACCGCGUCUCUGGCAACAGAGACGGCAUGGCAAGCCCCACCGGGAGCAAGACCAAAUAGGGACGGCACGUAAUCCGUUUCCGGAUAGCCGUCCGGGUAGGUCGCGUGAGGCGGCAGGUAACUGUCGUCCCAGAGGAAUGGCCAUCUCACCGCUUUCGGGCGGCGAACAGAACCCGGCUUACAGGCCAUCUGACGCA
rnacentral:RNase_P_RNA from 1 species